rnacentral:tRNA from 1 species
GGAGAGGUCGCAUAGUGGUCUAGUGCGCGCGCUUGGAAAGCGCGUAACCCGUAAAAAGGUUCGAGGGUUCAAAUCCCUCCCUCUCCG